GCUGCUGUGGCUCAGUGGAUAGAGCAUCAGCCUAUGGACUGAAAGGUCCCAGGUUCGAGUCCGGUCAAGGGCA
rnacentral:tRNA from 1 species